rnacentral:rRNA from 1 species
GAUCCUGGCUCAGGAUGAACGCUGGCGGCGUGCUUAACACAUGCAAGUCGAGCGAAGCACUUAAGUUCGAUUCUUCGGAUGAAGACUUUUGUGACUGAGCGGCGACGGGUGAAGGUAACGCGUGGGUAACCUGCCUCAUACAGGGGGAUAACAGUUAGAAAUGGCUGCUAAUACCGCAUAAGACCACGGUACUGCAUGGUACAGUGGUAAAAACUCCGGUGGUAUGAGAUGGACCCGCGU